AGCGAACGCUGGCGGCAGGCCUAACACAUGCAAGUCGAACGAACCUUUCGGGGUUAGUGGCGGACGGGGGAGUAACACGUGGGAACGUGCCUUUAGGUUCGGAAUAACUCAGGGAAACUUGUGCUAAUACCGAAUGGGCCCUUCGGGGGAAAGAGUUAUCGCCGUUAGAGCGGCCCGCGUCUGAUUAGCUAGUUGGGUGAGGUAAUGGCUCACCAAGGCGACGAGCAGUAGCUGGUCUGAGAGGAUGAUCAGCCACAUUGGGACUGAGACACGGACCAAACUCCUACGGGAGGCAGCAGUGGGGAAUCUUGCGCAAUGGGCGAAAGCCUGACGAAGCCAUGCCGCGUGAAUGAUGAAGGUCUUAGGAUUGUAAAAUUCUUUCACCGGGGACGAUAAUGACGGUACCCGGAGAAGAAGCCCCGGCUAACUUCGUG
rnacentral:rRNA from 1 species